rnacentral:misc_RNA from 1 species
UUUUUUUUUUUUUUUUUUUUCGUCACUUAUUUUUAUGCCUCUUCCAUUAAGAUGCAUAAGCAUAACGCACUCAAUUUACACCAGGACUGAGAUUUUGAGAACUUGCUAUUUUAGGGGCAGUUCUUAUUUCCCUGGGAAGAGAUUUAUCUUAUUAAAAUGCCUCUAAGUUCAAUAUUCUUUUAUUGCCCUCCGGGAGGAGCACAAAACUGAUUGUUUUAAUCUCCCUUGUAUCAUAUUUUAAAUUGAUUGUUAUCAUACUACCAUCAAUAAAAUUUUAAUUAAUCUCUGAAAAUCCUUUCCAG